AGCGAACGCUGGCGGCAGGCUUAACACAUGCAAGUUGAGCGGGCAUCUUCGGAUGUCAGUGGCAGACGGGUGAGUAACACGUGGGAACGUACCCUUCGGUUCGGAAUAACUCAGGGAAACUUGAGCUAAUACCGGAUACGCCCUUUUGGGGAAAGGUUUACUGCCGAAGGAUCGGCCCGCGUCUGAUUAGCUUGUUGGUGGGGUAACGGCCUACCAAGGCGACGAUCAGUAGCUGGUCUGAGAGGAUGAUCAGCCACACUGGGACUGAGACACGGCCCAGACUCCUACGGGAGGCAGCAGUGGGGAAUAUUGGACAAUGGGCGCAAGCCUGAUCCAGCCAUGCCGCGUGAGUGAUGAAGGCCUUAGGGUUGUAAAGCUCUUUUGUCCGGGACGAUAAUGACGGUACCGGAAGAAUAAGCCCCGGCUAACUUCGUG
rnacentral:rRNA from 1 species